UUACUACUUCCUCCGUUCCGAAUUACUUGUCGCAGGUAUAUAUGGAUGUAUCUAGAUGUAUUUUAGUUCUAGAUACAUCCAUUUCUUCGACGAGUAAUUUGGAACGGAGGAAGUACUAC
rfam:Triticum aestivum genome assembly, contig: Triticum_aestivum_CS42_TGACv1_scaffold_096166_2AL